CCGCAGUCGAGGGGCAGCGCAGUGUAGCAAUACAUGGGCGGCGACCGGCAAACGGGUGCGGAACACGUACGCAACCUUCCCAGAACUGGUGAAUAGCCUUUCGAAAGAGAGAUUAAUACACCGUAACUUAAUGGAGUGGCAUCACUUUAUUAAUAUAGUUCCGACGGUUCUGGAUGGGCGUGCGGCUGAUUAGGUAGUUGGCGGGGUAAUGGCCCACCAAGCCUACGAUCAGUAACUGGUGUGAGAGCACGACCAGUCACACGGGCACUGAGACACGGGCCCGACUCCUACGGGAGGCAGCAGUAAGGAAUAUUGGUCAAUGGACGCAAGUCUGAACCAGCCAUGCCGCGUGGAGGAUGAAGGUCCUCUGGAUUGUAAACUUCUUUUAUCGGAGAAGAAACCCCGACAUUCUUGUUGGGUUGACGGUACCCGAUGAAUAAGCACCGGCUAACUCCGUGCCAGCAGCCGCGGUAAUACGGAGGGUGCAAGCGUUAUCCGGAUUCACUGGGUUUAAAGGGUGCGUAGGUGGGCUGGUAAGUCAGUGGUGAAAUCUCCGGGCUUAACUCGGAAACUGCCGUUGAUACUAUCAGUCUUGAAUGUUGUGGAGGUAAGCGGAAUAUGUCAUGUAGCGGUGAAAUGCUUAGAUAUGACAUAGAACACCGAUAGCGAAGGCAGCUUGCUACACAAUAAUUGACACUGAGGCACGAAAGCGUGGGGAUCAAACAGGAUUAGAUACCCUGGUAGUCCACGCCCUAAACGAUGGAUACUCGACAUACGCGAUACACAGUGUGUGUCUGAGCGAAAGCAUUAAGUAUCCCACCUGGGAAGUACGACCGCAAGGUUGAAACUC
rnacentral:rRNA from 1 species